rnacentral:rRNA from 1 species
GUUAGGAAUAUUGGACAAUGGGCGAAAGCCUGAUCCAGCCAUGCCGCGUGAACGAUGAAGGCCUUCGGGUUGUAAAGUUCUUUAGCCGAUGAUUAUAAUGACUGUAGUCGGAAAAUAAGCCCCGGCUAACUUCGUGCCAGCAGCCGCGGUAAUACGAAGGGGGCGAGCGUUAUUCGGAAUCACUGGGCGUAAAGCGUGCGUAGGCGGUUUUGUAAGUUAGGAGUGAAAGCCCAGGGCUCAACCUUGGAAUUGCUCUUAAAACUGCAAGGCUCGAAUCUCGGAGAGGAUAGCGGAAUUUCCAGUGUAGCAGUGAAAUGCGUAGAUAUUGGAAGGAACACCAGUGGCGUAAGCGGCUAUCUGGACGAGUAUUGACGCUGAGGCGCGAAAGCGUGGGGAGCAAACAGGAUUAGAUACCCUGGUAGUCC